UACGUAGGGUGCGAGCGUUGUCCGGAAUUAUUGGGCGUAAAGAGCUCGUAGGCGGUUUGUCGCGUCGGCCGUGAAAACUUGGGGCUUAACCCCAAGCCUGCGGUCGAUACGGGCAGACUUGAGUUCGGCAGGGGAGACUGGAAUUCCUGGUGUAGCGGUGAAAUGCGCAGAUAUCAGGAGGAACACCGGUGGCGAAGGCGGGUCUCUGGUCCGAUACUGACGCUGAGGAGCGAAAGCGUGGGGAGCGAACAGG
rnacentral:rRNA from 1 species